rnacentral:rRNA from 1 species
AGAGUUUGAUCCUGGCUCAGAUUGAACGCUGGCGGCGUGCUUAACACAUGCAAGUCGUGCGAGAAAGGGGACUUCGGUCCCUGAGUAGAGCGGCGCACGGGUGAGUAACGCGUGGAUUAUCUACCCAGAUAUUCGGGAUAACGGCGGGAAACUGCCGCUAAUACCGGAUACGCUCCAAUUUCGGUUGGGGGAAAGGCGGCCUCUGCUUGCAAGCUGUUGUAUCUGGAUGAGUCCGCGUCCCAUUAGCUUGUUGGUGGGGUAAUGGCCUACCAAGGCGACGAUGGGUAGCUGGUCUGAGAGGAUGAUCAGCCACACUGGAACUGAAACACGGUCCAGACUCCUACGGGAGGCAGCAGUGGGGAAUAUUGCGCAAUGGGGGAAACCCUGACGCAGCGACGCCGUGUGAGGGAAGAAGGCUUUCGGGUC